AGAGUUUUAUUCUGGCUCAGAACGAACGCUGGCAGCGUGGAUUAGGCAUGCAAGUCGAACGAGAAUCCGCGCAUUUCAAUUCUUCGGAAGAGGAUGCGUGGAGGACAGUGGCGGAAGGGUGAGUAACGCUUGGGCAAUCUGCCUCUAAGAUCGGGACAACCCCUCGAAAGGGGGGCUAAUACCGAAUGUGAUCAUUCUGACGCAUGUCGGAAUGAUUGAAGGUGGGGAUUCUUCGGAACCUGCCGCUUGGAGAGGAGCCCAUGUCCCAUCAGCUUGUUGGUGAGGUAACGGCCCACCAAGGCUUACGGGUAGCUGGUCUGAGAGGAUGGUCAGCCACACUGGGACUGAGACACUGCCCAGACUCCUACGGGAGGCUGCAGUCGAGGAUCAUUGGCAAUGCGCGAAAGCGUGACCAUGCGACGCUGCGUGGAGGAUGACGGCCUUCGGGUUGUAAACUCCUGUCAUGCGGGACAAACUGUGGCCGGCUGAUAAUGCCGGUUACGUGAUGGUACCGCAAGAGGAAGCCACGGCUAACUCUGUGCCAGCAGCCGCGGUAAUACAGAGGUGGCGAGCGUUGUUCGGAUUUACUGGGCGUAAAGGGUGCGUAGGUGGUUACGUAUGUCGGACGUGAAAGCCCACUGCUCAACGGUGGAAAUGCGUUCGAAACUGCGAAACUAGAGUGCAGGAGGGGAGAGCGGAAUUCUUGGUGUAGCGGUGAAAUGCGUUGAUAUCAAGAAGAACACCGGUGGCGAAGGCGGCUCUCUGGAAUGUAACUGACACUGAAGCACGAAAGUUGGGGGAGCGAACAGGAUUAGAUACCCUGGUAGUCCCAACCGUAAACGGUGUGCACUUGGUGUGGGGAGUAUUGACCCUCUCCGUGCCGGAGCUAACGCGUUAAGUGCACCGCCUGGGGAGUACGGCCGCAAGGCUAAAACUCAAAGAAAUUGACGGGGGCCCGCACAAGCGGAGGAGCAUGUGGCUUAAUUCGAUGCAACGCGAAGAACCUUACCAGGGCUUGACAUGCAGCUGCACGUCCCGCGAAAGCGGGAAAGCCUUUGAGGGUGCUGCACAGGUGCUGCAUGGCUGUCGUCAGUUCGUGCCGUGAGGUGUUGGGUUAAGUCCCGCAACGAACGCAACCCCUGUGUUUAGUUGCCACCGCAGGUGAUGAGCCUGCGAGCACUCUAGACAGACUGCCCGUGCAAGCGGGAGGAAGGUGGGGAUGACGUCAAGUCAGUAUGGCCCUUACGCCCUGGGCUGCACACGUGCUACAAUGGCGGGUACAGUGGGAUGCAAUAUCGCGAGGUGGAGCAAAUCCCUAGAGCCCGCCCCAGUUCGGAUUGGAGUCUGCAACUCGACUCCAUGAAGUCGGAUUCGCUAGUAACGGCGCAUCAGCUACGACGCCGUGAAUACGUUCCCGGGCCUUGUACACACCGCCCGUCACAUCAUGAAAGCCGUCUGCACCCGAAGUCGCUGAGCUAACCCGCAAGGGGGGCAAGUGCCGAAGGUGUGGGUGGUGAUUGGGAUGAAGUCGGAACAAGGUA
rnacentral:rRNA from 1 species